AUUUAGCACGCGCGUGAACCGAGAUUGUGAAGAAAUAUUCGUCUCGCAAAUAUAAAAGUGCUUUGCGCGAACGAAACUGCUUGUCUGCAUGUAUUCAAACGUGCCCCUCCUCUCGCGCAAAACCCCAAUUUGCUCGAUCUCCUACUACCUCUCUGCGCGCGCUAAGAUCCUUCAGCUCACGCGCUCAAUCAGCGGAGUCUCCAAGUGGUGCUCCAAAUGGGCGGAGCUGGAGCUCCAGGCCCGCCUCGCUGGAUCUAAUGGGCGUGGCAGCAUCAAGUGCCCUGGCGCAGAUAGUGUUUGUUUGUAUCAAGGACUCCGGAGUAUUGCACGGCACAGAUGCAUCAGACAAUACUUUUGCGAGGACAGGAUCUUCUGCCGUCUUUAUCAAUGUGCCUACUGUAAAUAACAUGUAGCACAUGCGAAAUGCAGUUCAACAAAAAGAUUUUAUCAUCAUCAAGCAUGGUCUCAAGUGCAGGCAAUCCCCACACUUUCACUGCUGUUACUGUACAUCAACAGUAAUCAGAUGUGAUGCAUUUUAAAAUGUGUAAAAAUCCAGCCUCUGGACAACCUACCAUUGGCUGCAGCAAAUCCUUCAUCCCCAGCAUCAGCAUCCCCACCUUCAUUUUGCCCGGACAUUGGAACAUGUCUGUACUAAUUUUGAAGUGCAGCUUUUUAACUUGUUGCUUGUAAACUUUUUUAAUAUCUGUAGUGGAGUAUUAAGAAAAAACGCAGUACACAGUUGUCACAAAUAACCCACUUAGGGUCAGUUAAGUAAACUAAGUGCACGUUUUUAACAAAACUAUAAACAAACAGAAAGACGUAACUUAAAAAAACAAUCCCUAGGGGGUGGUUUCCGGACAGGGAUUAUUCUUAACCAGGACUAGGCCUUGGUUUAAUGAAAUAUAAAAAACAUGCCUUACUAAAAACAUUACUUGUGUGCAUUUUGAGGCAAAAUAAAGGGCACUGAUGCAUUUUAAGAUAUGUCAGUGCAAGUUGUUUUCAGUUUGGACAGCUCUUACAUUUAUUUUAUUCUAGGACUAGUCUAAUCCCUGUGUUACCAUUCAAUUUAAACAUUAAGCAAAUGUGACUUACACAAAUUAAAAAAAUUAUUCUUCCUUAGUGCUAGGAUACUAUUGUACAUUUCAACAUUUGAUAGAGACAUGACAAGAAAUAGAUCCUGAGUCAAGUAUGUACUGUAUUCACUAUAAUCCCAUCAUCGGAUAAGAUAACUGUUUUUUAAUAAUGAGGGAUGACAGAAAUUGAAAGACCGCUCCAGUAGUGAGAAACAUUGUGAUUAUGUGAAUGUGUGAAGGUAAAAAAACAUUCAAAG